CAGCUUUUAAGAUUCUUUCCAGCUUUAUGCAGUGAUAGAGGCCAAGGCAUUCAGGAGUGGAGUUGAUCAAGGUCAGGAUUUGUCUUCUUUCAUAAAUCGUGUAGGCAAGAGCAAAUGACACGAAACCCAGAAUAACCAAAUGUUGGGAGUAGGAAGAUAGAAAACAUUGCUGAGUCCAGGGAGUGGAGAAGAGGUAAUAACUAGCAGGUAGUCACCUGGACAGAGGCAUGAAAGAGGAAAUAUUUAAGCCAGAAGGAAUCUGAGGUAGAAACAAUUAAAGCAGAAACCACGGUAUACAGAAGACUCCGGCAGUGUUUAAGAAGUUUCUUUGGCCCAGGGGCAUCAAUAAUGAUAAGACAUUCAGAAAACUCUUCAAGACCACUGUUUUCAAAAAAGGGGGAGUUGCAGAGAGGAUUUGGGGCACAACUGAAAAUAAGUUUCAGAAGCUUACAAGUGCACAAAAAUGUUUCCUGCCGCCCCCACCAAGAUGGAACAGGGACAAGAAGAACUGAUCUGCAUCAUCCUCUAGAUUCUGUGUGCGCUUCCUGAUCCAUGCCUCCAAAUGACAAGGGUUACAGGCAUGCAGCAAUGAAUGUAGGCAAAAUCCUUUCUGUAUCUAAUUCAAAACACCAGUACCCCCAGUCUAGCAAAGGAAGUGAGAAUGCCCCAACCACUCUAAUCAGGGACAUGGACAGUUCUCCCAGCAGAAGUAAUGAGGGCCUCCUCUUGAGUCAAGAAGAUACUAUCUUCCCUCUGAAUCCACAAAAUGAAUCCACAAAAGCUCUAGUAGCUAAUUUUUCCUUUCAUUAAAAUAAAACAGGUGGUACAGUAAGUAAAGAGCUUAUCAAUUGCACAUUAAACUAGAGGUAAUGGGUACUGUACUCUCUGUAUUACGUUUUCUAUUGCUGUGUAACAAAUUACCCCCAAACACAGUAGCUUGGCACAGCAAAUGUGUGUGACCUCUCACAGCAUCUGAGGGUCUGGAAACUAGUAAGGUGGGGCUGACUCAGGGGCUCUCACAAGGUUGCUGUCAAGUCAGGGCUGCAGUCACCUGAAGGCUUGACUGGGGCUGGAGGAGCCACUUCCAAGUGUGCUCACAGUGUUCAUGGCUUCAGGCCCUCACUGGCUGUUGGCUAGAGUCCCCAUGGCCUCUCCAUAGACUGUCUGCAUGUCCUUUUGACAUGAGAGCUGGCUUGAGAAUUAGUGAUCUGAUAGAUGAGGGGAGAGAGAGAGAGAGGGAGAACAUGAGAACUAAUCUUAAAAAUAAACUCCACUGGGUUCUGCUGUGUCCUAUUGGUCACAUAGAUCAACUCUGCCACAGUGUGGGAGGGGACUACACCAAGGGUGAACACCAGGAGGUGGGGACCAUCACAGGCCAUCUUGAAGGUCACUGACCACAUUCCCCAAUCAAAGGCCUGCCUCCCCAACACAGCCCACCACCACUACCUCAGUCAGAGAACUGGGGACUCAGGAACUUAAAGCCAUCUCAAAGAAAUACAGUUGGGAGACCAUGGUUGCAAAUGAGUCCACGAAAGCUCUAAUAGCUAAUUUUUCCUUUCAUUAAAAUAAAACAGGUGGUACAGUAAGUAAAAGAGCUUAUCAAUUGCACAUUAAACUAGAGGUAAUGGGUACUCUAUAACUCAUUUCCAUUUCAUUGUGCUUUGCUUACUAGAAGCUUUCAGAUUUC
rnacentral:lncRNA from 1 species